rnacentral:rRNA from 2 species
UACGGGGGGGGCAAGCGUUGUUCGGAAUUACUGGGCGUAAAGGGCUCGUAGGCGGCCAACUAAGUCGGACGUGAAAUCCCUCGGCUCAACUGGGGAACUGCGUCCGAUACUGGUUGGCUUGAGUUCGGGAGAGGGAUGUGGAAUUCCAGGUGUAGCGGUGAAAUGCGUAGAUAUCUGGAGGAACACCGGUGGCGAAGGCGGCAUCCUGGACCGACACUGACGCUGAUGAGCGAAAGCCAGGGGAGCAAACGGG